AAUUGCUAAUAUCCCAUAUAUCUCUCACUUUUACCCUACUUUUUCAAUGACAUUAAAUAUUAUAUAUUUAAAACAUUUUUGCUAAUCUGAGAAGUGAAAAACUAAAGUAUUUUAAUUUCAGGUUUAGCAGUUUUUCUGAAAGAUACAACCUAAGAAUUUAAAUGUGCUCACAAAAAUUUUACAUCUGGGAUUAUAAGUAUGGAUUACAGGUUAGUGGGCUCUCCAUAAGAACACAUAUUUUUGGCCAGAUGUGGUGGCUCAUGCCUGUAAUCCCAGUGCUUUGGGAUGCUGAGGUGGGCGGGUCACAAGGUCAGGAGUUCGAGACCAGCCUAGCCAAUACGGUGAAAUCCUGUCUCUACUAAAAAUAAAAAAAAUUAGCCAGGCGUGGUGGUGCACGCCUGUAGCCCCAGCUACUCAGGAGGCUGAGGCAGGAGAACUGCUUGAACCCAGGAGGCACAAAACUAUUCUCCUCUAUUUAUAUAGUUAUUCCAUAUAUGAGGCAGUCUUAUGAAACACGACAUUUAUUUAAUUUCUGUACUCUUUCAGAAAAAAAGAAAAGUGACAACUCCUCCUGCAUUUUUUGUAAGUGCAACAGUAAAUAUUUACAACUACAUUUACAAUAUUUAAACCAAAAUAUCCAGAUGGGAAUCCUGGGUAAAGAAGCUUUUUUACCUGGAACCAAACUCUCAUUGUAAAUCCAAGGAGGCAUUCUGGGCUGAGCAGGAUCCUGUGAGGGAAAUACUCCCACACCUAGAAGGUAAGAAACAUUAAUGUAUAUAGUGGUCCAUGGAGAAGAUGGCGAAAUCACACUGAGUCAUGGUUUUUUACAAAGAGCACUGGCUGGAGACACUAAAAAAAGUCACCAAUACAAUUAAAAUACUUGGUCCCCCCUGCCUCCGAUUCAGAAUAAAAUAUUUGGUUUUUAAGCAACUCUUGUACGUUAACUAUGUUCUAAAGAGUAAAUUAUACAAAAACUAAAAUGUAUCAAAUCAAUACUCUAAAUCAUAUAAGCCU
rnacentral:lncRNA from 1 species